rnacentral:tRNA from 1 species
GUGGUCGAGGGCGGCCUGGAUCGCGUCGCCGCUGGAAGCGGCAAUCGCGGCGUAUUCAAAGCGUUCGGUUUGCGUGCGAACGAUCACG